rnacentral:rRNA from 1 species
AGUGAACGCUGGCGGCGUGCUUAACACAUGCAAGUCGAACGAGAACGGAAUAUAGCUUGCUAUAUUUGUCAGCUAAGUGGCGCACGGGUGAGUAAUGUAUAGAUAACCUGCCCUUAAGAAAGGAAUAACAGUUGGAAACGACUGCUAAUGCCCUAUAUGCCUUUAAUACAUAAGUAUGCAAGGGAAACGCUUUAGUGCUUAAGGAUGGGUCUGUAUGGUAUCAACUUGUUGGUGAGGUAAUGGCUCACCAAGGCUAUGACGCCUAACUGGUUUGAGAGGAUGAUCAGUCACACUGGAACUGAGACACGGUCCAGACUCCUACGGGAGGCAGCAGUGGGGAAUAUUGCACAAUGGUCGAAAGUCUGAUGCAGCAACGCCGCGUGGAGGAUGACACAUUUCGGUGCGUAAACUCCUUUUAUAUAGGAAGAUAAUGACGGUACUAUAUGAAUAAGCACCGGCUAACUCCGUGCCAGCCGCCGCGGUAA